AGAACUCUGGUCUCUCAAAGCUCGAAUCAGAAGCAGGAGCUUUGAGGAAGAAGGAAAGAGAAGGUCCUGAGGUGAUGCAUCUGGGCCUGUGCCCAGACAGAUGGUCUUCCCACGCAUGGCCUCCCUGACUCCUUCUGUCUCGCAGCACCUACACAGGCACCCACUAGAGCCCUCACGGUGCUGUCUCCUGGUCCCAUCUCAGACACAGGGCCAAGUCACUGCCCGUUACAGUCCUUUGGGGGAUAAUGUCUUAUAAAUCCUGGUGUUUUCUUGUCAUAGUCUCAA
ensembl:antisense Gm37622 predicted gene, 37622